AUCAAUCAAAAUCCACUCAAUAAUCAACCAAAACCAAGCAUCGCAAAUCCAAAAGCAAACACAGACACGAUUGCAAGUCUCAACAACAAGUGUCUAACAAUCAAAAAUCAACCAAAAUCCCACUCAAUAAUUAAUCAAAACAAAGCAUUUGCAUACCCAGAAGCCAUGAAUCGCAAAAAACAGUAGCCAAAUGAAUUGAAGCAUUCACAACAAGUGAAAAUGGAACACAGUGGGAGAUGAUGCUCAUCGAUGGUGCCCAGGAUUGUCCUAUGCUCAUCAGCAAAUUGCAGGGUAGGUGCCAAGCUCAUUAAUGGGUCUCUAGGUGCGAUGCUCAUUGAUGGGUCUUUUGGGUGCAAUGCUCAAUGAUGAGUCUUUGAGCGUGAUGCAACGAUCAUCUGAUAUGGGGGAAUAAGAAGAGGAGGAAAAGAAGAAUAAGUGAGAUUGGUGAGGGAGGGAUAGAGAUUGGUGUGUAGUG
rnacentral:misc_RNA from 1 species